GACGAACGCUGGCGGCGCGCCUAACACAUGCAAGUCGAACGAGCGAGAGAGAGCUUGCUUUCUCAAGCGAGUGGCGAACGGGUGAGUAACGCGUGAGGAACCUGCCUCAAAGAGGGGGACAACAGUUGGAAACGACUGCUAAUACCGCAUAAGCCCACGACCCGGCAUCGGGUAGAGGGAAAAGGAGCAAUCCGCUUUGAGAUGGCCUCGCGUCCGAUUAGCUAGUUGGUGAGGUAAUGGCCCACCAAGGCGACGAUCAGUAGCCGGUCUGAGAGGAUGAACGGCCACACUGGAACUGAGACACGGUCCAGACUCCUACGGGAGGCAGCAGUGGGGAAUCUUCCGCAAUGGGCGAAAGCCUGACGGAGCAACGCCGCGUGAGUGAUGACGGCCUUCGGGUUGGUAAACUACUGUGAU
rnacentral:rRNA from 1 species